UACGUAGGGAGCAAGCGUUGUCCGGAUUUACUGGGUGUAAAGGGCGCGUAGGCGGGAUAACAAGUCAGGUGUGAAAUCCGGGGGCUCAACCCUCGAACUGCACUUGAAACUGUUAUUCUUGAGUGAUGGAGAGGCAAGUGGAAUUCCUAGUGUAGCGGUGAAAUGCGUAGAUAUUAGGAGGAACACCAGUGGCGAAGGCGACUUGCUGGACAUUAACUGACGCUGAGGCGCGAAAGCGUGCGGAGCAAACAGGAUUAGAUACCCCGGUAGU
rnacentral:rRNA from 1 species